UGCAAGUCGAACGGACUUAACCAUUAGUUUACUAUUGGAGCGGUUAGUGGCGGACUGGUGAGUAACACGUAAGUAACCUGCCUAUCAGAGGGGAACAACAGUUAGAAAUGACUGCUAAUACCGCAUAUGCCUUGAGUAUCACAUGAUACAUAAGGGAAAGGAGCAAUCCGCUGAUAGAUGGGCUUGCGUCUGAUUAGAUAGUUGGUGGGGUAACGGCCUACCAAGUCGACGAUCAGUAGCCGGACUGAGAGGUUGGACGGCCACAUUGGGACUGAGAUACGGCCCAGACUCCUACGGGAGGCAGCAGUCGGGAAUAUUGCGCAAUGGAGGAAACUCUGACGCAGUGACGCCGCGUGCAGGAAGAAGGUUUCCGGAUUGUAAACUGCUUUAGACAGGGGAGAAUAAAGACAGUACCUGUAGAAUAAGCUCCGGCUAACUACGUGCCAGCAGCCGCGGUAAUACGUAGGGAGCAAGCGUUAUCCGGAUUUAUUGGGUGUAAAGGGUGCGUAGACGGGAAAACAAGUUAGUUGUGAAAUCCCUCGGCUUAACUGAGGAACUGCAACUAAAACUAUUUUUCUUGAGUGUUGGAGAGGAAAGUGGAAUUCCUAGUGUAGCGGUGAAAUGCGUAGAUAUUAGGAGGAACACCGGUGGCGAAGGCGACUUUCUGGACAAUAACUGACGUUGAGGCACGAAAGUGUGGGGAGCAAACAGGAUUAGAUACCCUGGUAGUCCACACCGUAAACGAUGGAUACUAGGUGUAGGGUGUGAUAAACAUUCUGUGCCGUCGCAAACGCAGUAAGUAUCCCACCUGGGGAGUACGGCCG
rnacentral:rRNA from 1 species